CACAUUUGAGUUCCAGGAAGCCAGUAAGAGGGAGAAAAGAAGUGCAUGUUGAUUUACUUUAAAGAAGACUUCUAGGGAGAACCACCUAAAAUUCCCCAACCUAGUCACACAAUCUUAUCUGGCUGCAAUCGCACCUGAAAAAUGCAGUUUUACUCCAAACGGUAAAAAGAAAAGGACUUUCUCCAGGAUUUAAGAUAAACAGUCUCACCGUUUUUGUGGAGAUUCCCAAAUGACACAGAAGUGCGAGGAGGAGCUGGAGGCAUUCUGAGAGAUGGUGUUCGGCAGUCCUAAUUGUUGUCAGUGGGGAGUGACUUCCUCAGCCUUCCGCUGUCUUGGACCAGAGCACAG
rnacentral:lncRNA from 1 species